rnacentral:rRNA from 1 species
GACGAACGCUGGCGGCGUGCUUAACACAUGCAAGUCGAACGAAGUGGCGAACGGGUGAGUAACGCGUAAUCAACCUGCCCUUCAGUGGGGGACAACAGUUGGAAACGACCGCUAAUACCGCAUACUGAAGGAGGGGCUUGCGUCUGAUUAGCUAGUUGGCGGGGUAACGGCCCACCAAGGCGAUGAUCAGUUGCCGGUCUGUGAGGAUGAACGGCCAAAAUGGGACUGAGACACGGCCCAGACUCCUACGGGAGGCAGCAGUGGGGAAUCUUCCGCAAUGGACGAAAGUCUGACGGAGCAACGCCGCGUGAGUGAUGACGGCCUUCGGGUUGUAAAGCUCUGUUAAUCGGGACGCGGUACCGGAAUAGAAAGCCACGGCUAACUACGUGCCAGCAGCCGCGGUAAUUC